UUGCGGCCGCAUCACGUUGAAAUACCGGUUCCCGUACGAUCACCGAAGUUAACCAAGUCAAACCAGGUCAGUACCAAGAUGGGUGACCGGUUGGGAAUACGAAGUGCUGUAAG